rnacentral:rRNA from 1 species
AACGUAGGAGACAAACGUUAUCCGGAGUUACUGGGCGUAAAGGGCGUGUAGGUGGUAGUGUAAGUCUGGCGUGAAAUUUUUCGGCUUAACCGGGAAAGGUCGUCGGAUACUGCACAACUAGAGGACGGUAGAGGCGUGUGGAAUUCCGGGUGUAGUGGUGAAAUGCGUAGAGAUCCGGAGGAACACCAGUGGCGAAGGCGGAGACCUGGGCCGAUACUGACGCUGAGGUGCGAAAGCGUGGGGAGCAAACAGG